GAGGGCGCAGUUCAGUGGUAGAGCGCAUGCCUGGCAUGCAUGAGGUCCAGGGUUCAAUUUCUAGUGCCUCCA
rnacentral:tRNA from 1 species